GCCCUUAGAGUUUGAUCCUGGCUCAGGACGAACGCUGGCGGCGUGCCUAAUACAUGCAAGUCGAGCGAGCGGAACUAACAGAUUUACUUCGGUAAUGACGUUAGGAAAGCGAGCGGCGGAUGGGUGAGUAACACGUGGGGAACCUGCCCCAUAGUCUGGGAUACCACUUGGAAACAGGUGCUAAUACCGGAUAAGAAAGCAGAUCGCAUGAUCAGCUUUUAAAAGGCGGCGUAAGCUGUCGCCAUGGGAUGGCCCCGCGGUGCAUUAGCUAGUUGGUAAGGUAAAGGCUUACCAAGGCGAUGAUGCAUAGCCGAGUUGAGAGACUGAUCGGCCACAUUGGGACUGAGACACGGCCCAAACUCCUACGGGAGGCAGCAGUAGGGAAUCUUCCACAAUGGACGCAAGUCUGAUGGAGCAACGCCGCGUGAGUGAAGAAGGUUUUCGGAUCGUAAAGCUCUGUUGUUGGUGAAGAAGGAUAGAGGUAGUAACUGGCCUUUAUUUGACGGUAAUCAAUCAGAAAGUCACGGCUAACUACGUGCCAGCAGCCGCGGUAAUACGUAGGUGGUAAGCGUUGUCCGGAUUUAUUGGGCGUAAAGCGAGCGCAGGCGGAAGAAUAAGUCUGAUGUGAAAGCCCUCGGCUUAACCGAGGAACUGCAUCGGAAACUGUUUUUCUUGAGUGCAGAAGAGGAGAGUGGAACUCCAUGUGUAGCGGUGGAAUGCGUAGAUAUAUGGAAGAACACCAGUGGCGAAGGCGGCUCUCUGAUCUGCAACUGACGCUGAGGCUCGAAAGCAUGGGUAGCGAACAGGAUUAGAUACCCUGGUAGUCCAUGCCGUAAACGAUGAGUGCUAAGUGUUGGGAGGUUUCCGCCUCUCAGUGCUGCAGCUAACGCAUUAAGCACUCCGCCUGGGGAGUACGACCGCAAGGUUGAAACUCAAAGGAAUUGACGGGGGCCCGCACAAGCGGUGGAGCAUGUGGUUUAAUUCGAAGCAACGCGAAGAACCUUACCAGGUCUUGACAUCUAGUGCCAUUUGUAGAGAUACAAAGUUCCCUUCGGGGACGCUAAGACAGGUGGUGCAUGGCUGUCGUCAGCUCGUGUCGUGAGAUGUUGGGUUAAGUCCCGCAACGAGCGCAACCCUUGUUGUUAGUUGCCAGCAUUAAGUUGGGCACUCUAAUGAGACUGCCGGUGACAAACCGGAGGAAGGUGGGGAUGACGUCAAGUCAUCAUGCCCCUUAUGACCUGGGCUACACACGUGCUGCAAUGGGCAGUACAACGAGAAGCGAGCCUGCGAAGGCAAGCGAAUCUCUGAAAGCUGUUCUCAGUUCGGACUGCAGUCUGCAACUCGACUGCACGAAGCUGGAAUCGCUAGUAAUCGCGGAUCAGCACGCCGCGGUGAAUACGUUCCCGGGCCUUGUACACACCGCCCGUCACACCAUGGGAGUCUGCAAUGCCCAAAGCCGGUGGCCUAACCUUCGGGAAGGAGCCGUCUAAGGCAGGGCAGAUGACUGGGGUGAAGUCGUAACAAGGUAGCCGUAAAG
rnacentral:rRNA from 1 species